rnacentral:rRNA from 1 species
ACUCCUACGGGAGGCAGCAGUGGGGAAUUUUGGACAAUGGGCGCAAGCCUGAUCCAGCCAUGCCGCGUGCGGGAAGAAGGCCUCGGUUGUAACCGACUUUGUUCAGGAGAAAGGUACUGGCUAAUACCUGGACGUCAUGACGGUACCUGAAGAAUAAGCACCGGCUAACUACGUGCCAGCAGCCGCGGUAAUACGUAGGGUGCAAGCGUUAAUCGGAAUUACUGGGCGUAAAGCGUGCGCAGGCGGUUAUGCAAGACAGAGGUGAAAUCCCCGGGGCUCAACCUGGGAACUGCCUUUGUGACUGCAUGGCUAGAGUACGGUAGAGGGGGAUGGGAAUUCCGCGUGUAGCAGUGAAAUGCGUAGAUAUGCGGAGGAACACCGAUGGCGAAGGCAAUCCCCUGGACCUGUACUGACGCUCAUGCACGAAAGCGUGGGGAGCAAACAGGAUUAGAUACCCUGGUAGGAUAGCG